UGAGUAACCUGCCCCUAAACUCUGGGAUAAGCCUGGGAAACUGGGUCUAAUACCGGAUAUGACUCCUCAUCGCAUGGGUGGGGGGUGGAAAGCUUUAUUGUGGUUUUGGAUGGACUCGCGGCCUAUCAGCUUGUUGGUGAGGUAAUGGCUCACCAAGGCGACGACGGGUAGCCGGCCUGAGAGGGUGACCGGCCACACUGGGACUGAGACACGGCCCAGACUUCUACGGGAGGCAG
rnacentral:rRNA from 1 species